rnacentral:rRNA from 1 species
GGCCGUGGAAGACUACCACGUUGAUAGGCUAUAGGUGUAAAGACAGUAAUGUCAAAGCCAAGUAGUACUAAUAACCCGUAAACUUAUAGU